ensembl:lncRNA
UUAUUGCACACAGAGUCCAUGCAACUUCUUAUGUGACUUGUUAAGCACUAUUAUUGCACACAGAGUCCAUGCAACUUCUUAUGUGACUUGUUAAGCACUAUCAUUGCACACAGAGUCCAUGCAACUUCUUAUGUGACUUGUUAAGCACUAUUAUUGCACACAGAGUGAGUCCUUUCAACUUCUUAUGUGACUUGUUAAGCACUAUUAUUGCACUCAGAGUGAGUCCUUUCAACUUCUCAUGUAACUUGUUAAGUGUAAUCCAUUUUAAAUUCAAAAUGUGGCCAAAGUCAAGGGGUAUGAAUACUUUCUGAAAACAGAAUUUGUAUGCAAAUCUCAGUCUUGAAAUCUAGAUGGUUGGGAUAGAGUCUUUUAAAAAUAGAUGCUGGUGGUUGGUGGUUUUUUCUAUAAGCAUCUACCUAAACGUGUGUGUGCAUGCGUGCGUGUGUGUGUGUGUGUGUGUGUGUGUGCGUGCGUGCGUGUGUGUGUGUUGCUGUGUGGUUAGGUGUGGAGAGGAUGUUGGAAGUGAUCUGAUGUUUUCCUGCUGAUCGCUGUGUUUUUUUUGUCUCCAGUGAAGAAUGGCAGACAGGAAGCGCUCCUCCCUGGGAGCUGAUGUCACUUCCUGUCCAGUGCUGGCCCGUUGUGUGGGUGCCUGACAGAGGUGACAUGGCCCUGCCCUGACAGAUGUGCAGGUCGCACAGUUCACACGUUUCAUCUGAUUUAUAAACACCAAAGGCUUUCUUUGUGUUAAAGCUUGUAAAAUGCAUAGAAAUGAUGAGGAAAUUACAACUUAGUUUGGGUCUCUACUCAGUGGGACUGAUGUGAGACUUAUUCAAAUUCUAGCUCAGAUUGACAUCCAUCGGGAGUUCUGGGGCUACCAGUAGAGAAGCUGUGCUACAGAGAUGGAUGAAGUGAAUGUAUGUCAGAGAGGGAGCUGGUUUCAAGUCACUCUGCUUCAAGUUCACAUUCUGCCAAGAGGGUGUCAUAUUUUAACUCUAAUUUCUAUUGGCUCAGAAAAGUAAAAAUGUCAGACUAGAAAAUCUAAUGAGGUAUCCCAUAUUUUUCUAUGUAGGCCACUACCUCAUUUGUCUUGAAUAAUAGCUGGCUACACACACACUCACAUUAACACACACACACACACACACACACACACACACACACACACACACACACACACACACACACACACACACACCUGGGUUCUCACUAAUCUCAUUAGCUCUCAUCAGCGGGCUGAGAUCACAGAGCUAGGCGCCUCACUGACUGCUGUGUUCACAACAACAACCGCAUCACAUUAGCCAUCAUCCCUACUCCUACACCCCUGUCUGUACCACUUCCCAAAAUACUCCUACCUACCUGGCAUCACAUCACACACACACACACACACACACACACACACACACACACACACACACACACACACACACACACACACACACACACACACACACACACACACACACACACACACACACACACACACAGACACACACACACACACACACACACACACACAAACACACUAGACUGCUAGAAUGUAUCCCUCAUGACAUUCAUAUAAACAUUAUGGUUGAUAUUUUCCUGAUAUUUUGCCCGAGAAUAAAUCACCUUUCUCCUGGGUACCCCGGUAUUGAAAAGCAUCAUAAAGCAUCAUAAAGCAUCAUUUGAUUAGACUUAGAUUGAUUUGAUUAGAGCUUUGAUCAGCAUUAAUGGGGCGGCAGGUAGCCUAGUGGUUAGAGUGUAGGGGCGGCAGGGAGCCUAGUGGUUGGAGUGUGGGGGGCGGCAGGUAGCCUAGUGGUUAGAGUGUAGGGGCGGCAGGUAGCCUAGUGGUUAGAGUGUAGGGGCGGCAGGUAGCCUAGUGGUUAGAGUGUAGAGGCGGCAGGUAGCCUAGUGGUUAGAGUGUAGGGGCGGCAGGUAGCCUAGUGGUUAGAGUGUAGGAGCGGCAGGUAGCCUAGUGGUUAGUGUGUAUGGGCGGCAGGUAGCCUAGUGGUUAGAGUGUAUGGGCGGCAGGUAGCCUAGUGGUUAGAGUGUAGUGGCGGCAGGUAGCCUAGUGGUUAGAGUGUAUGGGCGGCAGGUAGCCUAGUGGUUAGAGUGUAGUGGCGGCAGGUAGCCUAGUGGUUAGAGUGUAUGGGCGGCAGGUAGCCUAGUGGUUAGAGUGUAGGGGCGGCAGGUAGCCUAGUGGUUAGAGUGUAGGAGCGGCAGGUAGCCUAGUGGUUAGUGUGUAUGGGCGGCAGGUAGCCUAGUGGUUAGAGUGUAGUGGCGGCAGGUAGCCUAGUGGUUAGAGUGUAUGGGCGGCAGGUAGCCUAGUGGUUAGAGUGUAGAGGCGGCAGGUAGCCUAGUGGUUCGAGCGCUGCGCCAGUAACUGAAAUGUUGCUGGAUUAAACAAGUUCUGCCCCUGAACAAGGCAGUUAAUCCACUGUUUCCUGUUAGGCCGUCAUUGUAAAUAAGAAUUUGUUCUUAACUGACUUGCCUAGUUCAAUAAAGGUUAAAUAAAAUUAAAUAAAAGUCAAUCCUGAGCCAUAUAUUAAAUACAUUUAAUGAGCCCAGGCCCAAAAAUCCUUUUAACAAAUACAUAUAUGAUGUAGGCUACUGCACAACAGAAAAACAGAAAAGCCCAUAGAUGUAGUUUACCAUAUGCUCUCUUGGGUAAAUAAAUAAACCUAGCUCCAGUAGGCUAAUCUUUUUUUAGUGUGAACUGUAUUACUGUACUGUAUUAUACUGUAUUAUAUGGACUGGAAUUAUGGACUGGAAUUAUGGACUGGAAUUAUGGACUGGAAUUAUGCACUGGAAUUAUGGACUGGAAUUAUGCACUGGAAUUAUGGACUGGAAUUAUGCACUGGAAUUAUGGACUGGAAUUGUGGACUGGAAUUAUGGACUGGAAUUAUGGACUGGAAUUAUGCACUGGAAUUAUGCACUGGAAUUAUGCACUGGAAUUAUGGACUGGAAUUAUGCAUUGGAAUUAUGGACUGGAAUUAUGCACUGGAAUUAUGGACUGGAAUUAUGCACUGGAAUUAUGUACUGGAAUUAUGGACUGGAAUUAUGCACUGGAAUUAUGCACUGGAAUUAUGCACAUAGUUAAAACCAUGAUAAACCAGGGAGACAUAAGAUUCUGGUGCAUAUGUCGUACAGGUGCAUAUGUCGUACAGGUGCAUAUGUCGUACAGGUGCAUAUGUCGUACAGGUGCAUAUGUCGUACAGGUGCAUAUGUCCUACAGGUGCAUAUGUCCUACAGGUGCAUAUGUCGUACAGGUGCAUAUGUC